UGAACGCUAGCGACAGGCUUAACACAUGCAAGUCGAGGGGCAUCACGGGAGUAGCAAUACAACGUGGUGGCGACCGGCGCACGGGUGAGUAACGCGUAUGCAACCUACCUAUCAGGAGGGGAAUAACCCGGCGAAAGUCGGACUAAUACCGCAUAAAACAGGGGCACCGCAUGGUGAUAUUUGUUAAAGAAAUUCGCUGAUAGAUGGGCAUGCGUUCCAUUAGGUAGUUGGUGAGGUAACGGCUCACCAAGCCGACGAUGGAUAGGGGAACUGAGAGGUUGGUCCCCCACACUGGUACUGAGACACGGACCAGACUCCUACGGGAGGCAGCAGUGAGGAAUAUUGGUCAAUGGGCGGGAGCCUGAACCAGCCAAGUCCGCGUGAAGGAAGAAGGAUCUAUGGUUCGUAAACUUCUUUUGCAGGGGAAUAAAGUGCAGGACGUGUCCUGUUUUGUAUGUACCCUGAGAAUAAGGAUCGGCUAACUCCGUGCCAGCCGCCGC
rnacentral:rRNA from 1 species